rnacentral:rRNA from 1 species
CUCAAAGGAAUUGACGGGGACCCGCACAAGCGGUGGAUGAUGUGGAUUAAUUCGAUGCAACGCGAAAAACCUUACCUACCCUUGACAUGUCCGGAAUCCUGCAGAGAUGCGGGAGUGCUCGAAAGAGAGCCGGAACACAGGUGCUGCAUGGCUGUCGUCAGCUCGUGUCAUGAGAUGUUGGGUUAAGUCCCGCAACGAGCGCAACCCUUAUCAUUAGUUGCUACGCAAGGGCACUCUAAUGAGACUGCCGGUGACAAACCGGAGGAAGGUGGGGAUGACGUCAAGUCCUCAUGGCCCUUAUGGGUAGGGCUUCACACGUCAUACAAUGGUCGGUACAGAGGGUUGCCAAGCCGCGAGGUGGAGCCAAUCCCAGAAAGCCGAUCGUAGUCCGGAUUGUUCUCUGCAACUCGAGAGCAUGAAGUCGGAAUCGCUAGUAAUCGCGGAUCAGCAUGUCGCGGUGAAUACGUUCCCGGGUCUUGUACACACCGCCCGUCACACCAUGGGAGUGGAAUCUG